rnacentral:rRNA from 1 species
AUUGAACGCUAGCGGGAUGCCUUACACAUGCAAGUCGAACGGAGUGGCGAACGGGUGAGUAAUGUAUCGGAACGUGCCCAGUAGCGGGGGAUAACUACUCGAAAGCGUAGCUAAUACCGCCUACUAUUGGAGCGGCCGGUAUGGGAUUAGCUAGUUGGUGGGGUAACGGCUCACCAAGGCGACGAUCCGUAGCUGGUUUGAGAGGACGACCAGCCACACUGGGACUGAGACACGGCCCAGACUCCUACGGGAGGCAGCAGUGGGGAAUUUUGGACAAUGGGGGAAACCCUGAUGCAGCCAUCCCGCGUGUGCGAAGAAGGCCUUCGGGUUGUAAAGCACUUUUGGCGGGGAAGCGUUACCUGCAGAAGAAGCACCGGCUAACUACGUGCCAGCAGCCGCGGUAAUUC